rnacentral:rRNA from 1 species
AUGGCAUCAAUGGAUGCAGAUAUGUCACGUGUUGAAAACAUUAGAAGUGUCAUAGAAAGAGAGGAAUUUGUGAUAGAGGAUAGCAUCAGUGCAUGGAUAUGUUGCCACAAGGAGAGGAUGGGACUCAUUUAUGGAAGAAACAUCAGGCUGCCUCUGGUUCCACCAUCACAACUUAACAGACUUUUCCUUUCUUCAUGCAGUAUUACAGAUGGGGCAUUAGCUGUUUGCCUUAAUGGUCUCACUUCACUGAGAAGUUUGCACUUAACUAAGAUCAUGACUUUGACUACAGUUCCGUCGCAAGAGGUCCUCCUACAUUUGACAAAGUUAAGUUGGCUGAAUAUCAGUUCUUGCUGGUGUCUCAAGUCAUUAGGGGGGUUACGAGCUGCUACCUCCCUUUCAGAUGUCAGAUUUCAUUCCUGCCCUUCUCUAGACUUGGCACGUGGAGCAGAUGAAAUGCCAUUAUCUCUUACGAGGCUCACUAUAUACUGGUGUGUGGUUGGAGCUAACUUCUUCAGUAGUGGUCUGCCGCACCUGAGAGAUCUUGAAAUGGUUGGCUGCGGAAGCCUUGCAUCCUUGUCAAUCAGUCAUUUGAUCUCCCUUGCAUCAUUAGUACUAAAAGAUCUCCCGGAUCUGUGCUUUAUUGAAGGACUGUCUUCCCUGCAACUUCACCGUGUAUCUUUAGAAGGUGUCCCGAAGCUCAGCGCCAAGUGCAUCUCACAGUUUCGGGUGCAGAAAUCACUCAGUGUUAGCAGUCCUGUGAUACUCAACCACAUGCUCUCUACUAAAGGUUUUACAGCUCCAGAAUUCCUCUGUCUAAUUGAUUGCAAGGAGCCAUCCAUUUCAUUCGAAGAAUCUGCAAAUUUCUCAUCCCUGAGAAAGCUGAUAUUACGUCAAUGCGAAAUGAGAUCCCUGCCAGGAAAUCUCAAGUGGCUGACAAGUCUGACACGACUUGGUAUCUACGAGUGCCCCAACAUAUCAUCUUUAUCCGAUCUGCCACCCUCCCUCCAACAUAUAAUUGUUGAGGGUUGUGAGCGCUUGAAAGAGAGCUGUCAAGCACCUGAUGGAGAAAGUUGGCCAAAGAUUGCGGGUAUCCACUCGAAGGAAAUCAGAUGA